GACGAACGCUGGCGGCGUGCCUAAUACAUGCAAGUUGAGCGAUGAAGCUUGGUGCUUGCACCAAUUUGAAGAGCAGCGAACGGGUGAGUAACGCGUGGGGAAUCUGCCUUUGAGCGGGGGACAACAUUUGGAAACGAAUGCUAAUACCGCAUAACAACUUUAAACAUAAGUUUUAAGUUUGAAAGAUGCAAUUGCAUCACUCAAAGAUGAUCCCGCGUUGUAUUAGCUAGUUGGUGAGGUAAAGGCUCACCAAGGCGAUGAUACAUAGCCGACCUGAGAGGGUGAUCGGCCACAUUGGGACUGAGACACGGCCCAAACUCCUACGGGAGGCAGCAGUAGGGAAUCUUCGGCAAUGGACGAAAGUCUGACCGAGCAACGCCGCGUGAGUGAAGAAGGCUUUCGGAUCGUAAAACUCUGUUGGUAGAGAAGAACGUUGGUGAGAGUGGAAAGCUCAUCAAGUGACGGUAACUACCCAGAAAGGGACGGCUAACUACGUG
rnacentral:rRNA from 1 species